CCCUUUUCUCUUCCAUUUUCCUCCUCCUCUAGAACCUUCAUCUCCAUUUCUCAAACCCAUCAUCCUUUGCCUUGAAUCAAGAAUAAACUUGAAGAUCUCUUCUUCCUCUCUUGAAAAGUGCUUUUCCUUGAGGUUUUUGAGAAGCUUUGAGGAGGUGAGAAUUCAAGCAAAGGAAAAGGGCCCGGUAGAGAAGUAACAUGGGAGGUUUCUAGCUUGCCAAGUUUUAAGGGUUAGAGUUUCCACGGGCCGACCUAGUUGGGGUGGCAUGUAGUACUCAGAUGAGGUUUCACCCUUUCAGGGGGGCGUGUAGAGAGGUCGAAGGGUGUGCAGGGUUGGGUGCCCAGAGUCACCACACAGGUUCCCCAAUGGCCAACGCCAAAAUAUGUGCAUUUUGGUGGCUCAUGACCUAACCGAGGACAGGGUUAGCGAAUGGAGGGUUUUUGAGGCUAGUUGUGAUACUAUUGACUAUUUUAAAUUGUUGAUUUAUUUAUUUCUCCACAGUUUGAGCUAUGAGUUAUUAAAGAAAUGUAUGAAUUUGGAUUUCAUACUUGUAUGGAUUCUGUGAUUAUGUAAA